rnacentral:rRNA from 1 species
CAAGUCGCACGGGCAGCAAUGUCAGUGGCGGACGGGUGAGUAUCGCGUAGGAAUGUAUCCUGAGGUGGGGGACAACCCUGGGAAACUGGGGCUAAUACCGCAUAUGGACUGAGGUCCAAAGCCGUGAGGCGCCUUGGGAGCAGCCUGCGUCCGAUUAGGUAGUUGGUGGGGUAAAGGCCUACCAAGCCUGCGAUCGGUAGCUGGUCUGAGAGGACGAUCAGCCACACUGGGACUGAGACACGGCCCAGACUCCUACGGGAGGCAGCAGUGGGGAAUAUUGGACAAUGGGCGCAAGCCUGAUCCAGCAAUGCCGCGUGGGUGAAGAAGGUCUUCGGAUUGUAAAGCCCUUUCGACAGGGACGAUGAUGACGGUACCUGUAGAAGAAGCCCCGGCUAACUUCGUGCCAGCAGCCGCGGUAAUACGAAGGGGGCUAGCGUUGCUCGGAAUUACUGGGCGUAAAGGGCGCGUAGGCGGCGCUGUUAGUCAGGCGUGAAAUUCCUGGGCUCAACCUGGGGACUGCGCUUGAUACGGCAGUGCUAGAGGAUGGAAGAGGCUCGCGGAAUUCCCAGUGUAGAGGUGAAAUUCGUAGAUAUUGGGAAGAACACCGGUGGCGAAGGCGGCGAGCUGGUCCAUUACUGACGCUGAGGC